UCUUUUUGUCUAAAAUCAGAUUACUGUACUACAAUCCGGAAUAAAUCUUCUUCAACGACAAAUGAACGAGUUAACUACUGAAUAAACUGAAAUGCAGUGUUUGUAAACAUUGACCAAGAAACAAGUGCUAAAACUGAUUAUACACAUGAAGUUGAUACUUGAAGGUGAACACCUUGCAUAGAAAUGGACCUACCUGAUGCCAAAGUUAAUGUUGCUACGACGAGUGCAGCAAGAAAAGCGACUGUUUGCAGACCCAUCGGAGUAGCUUUUCUGUGAAGACAGUUAUCAGUCCUUUCGGAUCAGGUACGUCUGCAGUAAAUAGGCCAGGGGCAGAAAAAACAAAAAAACAAAAAAACAAAACAAAAAAAAACAAAAAAA